GGCGCGGUGACGUCAUGCGCGCAGAGGCUCCAUGACGUCACGCGCCGGGACUGCGCGCCGUGGCCCGGGAAGAGCGACAGCGUCAUGGAUGUCGACAGUGGGUCCAGAAUACUCGUUGACAAGAUCUCCUACACCGAACUCUGGUGUACUUGUCAGCCAACUGUUGUCUUUGUUCUGAACACUUUGAACUUGACCAGUUUUCCAACAAACAGACCAAGAACAGGCUAAAUUGGAAUGCAGUUCCAACGCUCUUUGACAUUCCGAACCCGCCGAAACAUCUGUCUUCCCAAAGCAGGGUACUCAAGAGGAAGAAUGAGAACCUCCCAUCCUCACCAACGCCUUCAAAACAGCAAAGAGGCAAUGUCACACAACAUACAGGCCGAACAUUCUUACUGCUCAGCUGCUCAGAAUGAACCCAGCAGUGGCUCUACAACUCCUGAUAUACAUGAUCUUCAAUUCACACCAAAUGUAAAUGACAGCAGAGCUCUGAAGAAGGAACGACAGCGUACCUUCCGCCUCAAAAAAAGAGGACAACAGAUUAAACUAUCAAUGGGAAAGAAUACUAGGGAAAGUUGCGUUGGAUUACGUAGGAGUGGAGUAUCUUGCUCCCCUCUAUGAUCUUUGGUCGAGACUGUAGCGUUCUCUCACCAGCGAAACAACACUCCCCAGUGCAACAACACUACCCCAGGGUCUCGACCCAACACGUUAUGCAUUCCCUCUCUCCAGAGAUGCUGCCUGUCUCGCUGAGUUACUCCAGCAUUUUGUGACUCUCUUUGGUUUAAACCAGCAUCUGCAGUUCCCCGAGUGCAACAACGCUCCCCCAGUGCAGCAACACUGUCCCUGUGAACAAC